rnacentral:rRNA from 1 species
AAACAGAACGACCCGCGAACCAACGAUCACCACUCGCGGUGGGCUGGUUUCUUAGCCGAUCC